UACAGAGGGGGCAAGCGUUGUUCGGAAUUACUGGGCGUAAAGGGCGCGUAGGCGGCCUGCUAAGUCGAACGUGAAAUCCCUGGGCUCAACCCAGGAACUGCGUCCGAUACUGGUUGGCUUGAAUCCGGGAGAGGGAUGUGGAAUUCCAGGUGUAGCGGUGAAAUGCGUAGAUAUCUGGAGGAACACCGGUGGCGAAGGCGACAUCCUGGACCGGUAUUAACGCUGAGGCGCGAAAGCCAGGGGAGCAAACGGG
rnacentral:rRNA from 1 species